rnacentral:tRNA from 1 species
GGAUUGUGGCUCAGUGGUAGAGCACUCACCUAGUACGGGUGGGACCUGGGUUCGAUUCUCAGUACCA